ACUCAAAGGAAUUGACGGGGACCCGCACAAGCAGCGGAGCGUGUGGUUUAAUUCGAUGCGACGCGAAGAACCUUACCUGGGCUUGACAUCUACUCGCAACUCCUUGAAAGAGGAGCCUCCGCAAGGACGGGUAGACAGGUGUUGCAUGGCUGUCGUCAGCUCGUGUCGUGAGAUGUUGGGUUAAGUCCCGCAACGAGCGCAACCCUCGUCUUUAGUUGCAAAUCUAAAGAGACUGCCGGAAACAAACCGGAGGAAGGUGGGGAUGAAGUCAAGUCAGCAUGACCCUUACGUCCAGGGCUACACACACGCUACAAUGGACCGUACAGCGAGAAGCCAUUCCGCGAGGAAGAGCAGACCUCUGAAAGCGGUCCCCAGUUCAGAUUGCAGUCUGCAACCCGACUGCAUGAAGGCGGAGUUGCUAGUAACCGCGUGUCAGCAUAGCGCGGUGAAUAUGUUCCCGGGUCUUGUACACACCGCCCGU
rnacentral:rRNA from 1 species